AAUGGCCUUACCACAUCAUCAGUGCACUCCGGUAAUGUUCCUUCGCAUGGAAUUUUCUGCAUUAACUCUUGAGAGCAAACCUGAAACGUUCUCCAGCCACGACCGCAAGUAACGGGGCAAUCUUCCCACGAAGACCAGGGUGUUGUUUCACAAUUAAAGGUCCUGAAGGAACAUUUGAAGAUGAUACUACCGGGUUCGGCUUAGUACGGCUAGUAUGCGACUUGCCAGUUGUACGUUGCUAUCAGUCAAAAUAUAGCGAUAUUCCAACAAAUGGACAUAUUUUCAAGGACGUAGCAGCACCUCCCAAAGUUCUCAGGAACGACUCAACAUUUGCGUGUCUCCUUCGCAACGUUCAAAGGAGAAGCUUGCUAUUUGUAUCGCAUUAGAAGUCGCAUGAUAUUGCGCGCUGCGGCGUUGACUUUCGGUCCGACGAUAAGUGGUAAAAAAUUGACUCCGUAUAUUAUUACAUUGGGGACCACUAGAGCGUAUUAUUGAUGCAUGCUCUGAGCAACCAGACGAAAUUUAUCCAUAACUGCUUUGCAAUGAUACAGCGUUCUUUAUCGCUAAAACAACGGCAUCGCAUUCCACAAACGUAAGACAUCGCAGAUCUUCCCACGGGAACAAGAGCAGCGGCUAAUCUCAAGAUCGCUGAAAAUUAUAACAAACCAUACAGAGAGUCACACGCCAUCCCGUCUAUCGACGCGCACUUCGGCGUAUCCAUGGUUUCGCCUACGCUCAGGAACCGUUUCGAAAUUACCCAUGGGCGGUACUCGAACGAAACCCUAUUUCGCCAAUGCCUUAUGUGCCAUAAAAUUUAAAAAUAAAACGCUUCCGCCAAGGGUAACCGGUUACCUUUUUAUUGGCUGACGUGGGCCUUCUCGUCGAAUUUCUGUGUGCUCUUGAAAUGAGAAGCGGAAAAGUUAGCUCGCUCGUUUCGCGUACCUUAUGUAGAGCAAAUCAUAAUCCAAAUCAUGAACGGCCUAGGGCAGGCGACGAGAGCCUUAAUUUCGGCCGUACAGAGUGUGUAACAGAGACCGUAACAAUAAGCUAUUAUAAGGAGAGAUUGGUCUUGGCGCGCAUCUCGGAGCGCUCUUCUUGAGCCAAGAAAUCUAUCGAGGUUGUUCAAGUAGUUUAAGACAAGAGCCGACCGCUCUGAUUCGGCCCCGUGGCGCAAGAGUACUCCAUUUUUACAAAAAUUUGUCGCGAAUCUUGCAUUUUGAUUUUUACUUCAAUCUGGAAAAGGUACAGCUCUUUCAAUAAUUGCAAUAACAGUCGAAUAUCUUAAUUGAAUUUUAUCGAAUCGGCAAAAAUUAUGAGAUCAAGAUUGCUCCACAUAAAACUGUAUGGGCCUAAUUAACUCGACUCCUUGACAAAGUCUUGACAUCUGUGUGAUUCUUCAACGGUAAUCUUGCGGGCCGUGUUCCUCAAGCAGCAAAUUUUGAAUGAUAGCGACCACUCAAGGCAUUGGCGAUUCAUGUCUGUUCAAUGGGAGCAGUUCACCCGGCGUCAAGAUGAACGUUGUCUAUUGAAAGAAGUGUCACGACGCUUGUGAUUGAACAAUUCGGGAUUACAAAGAUCGUUUUUUAAAUGGAUAGAAUCCAACGUGAAUUUCCGCUGCUGACCUGGUUAGAUAUAAUAGAGUCAUUUGCACAAUAAAUCGGGCCAAAUUUCGAUAUGGUUUAGUACUUAGAUUGGUAUGGGGUGACUUUUCAGUUUCUUUUUGACGGUGCAUUAUUAAUUAUGCCUAUAAUGUAAUAAAAAUAAUACUUCUACCUAAAACGACAUAACAUUUACUUAAAAACAUUCAGUCUAAUGUAACUGAACCGACUUCUAAUCUGAUUUACGUAGUCCGUCGAUAGAGCGUUUUACGGUAACGCGACAAAAAGACAAGUUUUUCACGUGAAUACUUUACGAAGGCAAGCAGCACCCCGCAGGGAUGUUAAAAAGAUCGAACUGAAUGAUGAAAACUCCAGUUUGCUUUUCGUUAGAGGUAAAAUAUGUGCGAAACUUCUUACUGUUCGAUCACCGUUUCUUGUUGGUGCGAGACAGUCAGUAAACAACAUGAGAAUUCUGCCGCUAUUCAAUGUGAUCCUUCGAAUAAACUGAUCCAUGACCAUAAGGACUAGCUUUGGUAUUAAGUUGUGUUCGAAACGAUCUGAACGGGACAUGGAAGACAAGCUUUUUG
rnacentral:lncRNA from 1 species